GUUUCUCAUACAUUGGGUAUAUAUACUUUAGUUUUCAUACAUAAUUGUCAUGAAUUACUAGAUUAUCCAAUUAGGUGGAGCCGACCAAUGAGAGUAGAGGUUGCGAGAAGUGACGUCAAUUGAAAAAUCGAAACGUGAUUGGCUGUUGAGUCGACUUGGUGGGUGAGGCUCGACGGAACGUUAUUUUGACCCCAGUAUUGGCAUAGUUGUGGUGUACAAGUUAGUGUUAGGGCGUGAUGUUACUCUGAGCUGGUACCCCGUUACCCUUUGGGGUCGCUAGGGCUGACAGAUCCCCUAGCUUACACUCAUAUUGUACACCCGCAAAACGCCAAUACAUAGGGGCUAUUAAGUGAAUGAGGUAAUGGUUGGAAGAAGAGGCAUCGCUUGAAAGGAGCCUACUGGUGAUGUAGGAAUGUGGAGGAGACUACCGUUGUGAUGGGACCAGUGGUGGACCGAUGAAACAAGUCUUGGACGAUGCCGAGCAGAAGGUGGUUGCAGAUGUCGAGGUAAUACCGGACUGGUUGCCAGGACCCCUGGGCUGUCUGGAAGUUGAACAGUGAGACGCUUCAACUUCACGAAUAAUGAACACUUGCCAGUAAGUGACCGACUAGGGAAGGCGCACAAGGUACACCAUUGAUGAACAAGGAAAAGGGAUGGAGCCCGAGGGCAGACUACUGCAGCCAUGAGGUCGAGACACACACACUUAAUUACAGCGGGCAGCCGCCGCGUUGGGGCUUCGGGAUUGGGGAUGCUCCGGCGGAGCCCCCAAAGUGAUAACCCUGGAGAUAGCUAAGAGGUAUUCCCAUGAAUUCAGUCUUGAAGGACCGAUGAUUGGAGUCAUACCCUGCCGAGCAGAAGGUGCUGGCAGAUGUUCCAGUUGUGCUACUUGAGUUACCAAGAUCAGCGUGUGGAGAGGAGGUGGGAGCUGGGCGAAACAGAGCAAUGGUGAAGUGUGUAUUUGUGAAGAAAGCCGCAUUGGUGGAGGGCAACCAACGCCACACUGCAGAGUAAUGGAAGAGGCUGUGACCUGCAGUUUCGCAGGUGACACGCUUGAGUACCCUCGACGUGGAUGACGUUGGUACCAUCCUGUGUAGUUACUCUAGGGACACAACCUCCAGCUGUUGAAGGAUCAAGUUUGUGUUCCAUACAAGAACCGACUACGGAAGGAGCACAAGGUACAGCAUUGGUGAAGAAGUAAAAUGGAUGGAGCCCGCGGGGAGAGUACUGCGCCCAUGAGGUCGACAGAGAUUCCUAGUUACAGCGGGCAGCCGCCGCGUUCGCCCUUCGGUGUGUUCAGCGGGAACCCCCAAAGUGAUAAGCCUGUAGAUAGGCAAGAAAUAAUCGCAUGAAUUGUAUAUAGUGUAAUGAAAUGAAUGCAAGUUUAAUAUAGUACGUAUAGAUGUAGUUAUUAAUUGUAAAUCAUUAUAAAUAAUGCAUUUAUUAUUAUUAUGGAGUAAAUCGUUAUCAAAUAAAUAGUUAAUAAUAUCUAAUAAAAUAAAUGUUACCAUUAAAAAAAAAUAUAUAUGAAUAAUACCUUUGACGUUUGUAAUAUGUUUGACUUGCACAAUAGUUACUGUGUGAGGAAAUCCCGUAUGUCACUGAAUGUGAGGGACAUGGCCAAGAUAGUUUUAAUAUUAAUCAUGGAAGAAAGUAUAGUGAGAAUAUUAUGUUUGAGCGUUAAUGUGUUAAAAUUUGUUGGGGUGGAUGUACAAUAAUAUACCUAGAUAGUACUAUAUUAACGUGAAAUUUGAAUGUUGUAUAUGUGAAGUUUUGGAGCUUGAAUGGGUAGAAAUACCCAAAGGUACUCGUGAGUUUAUAAUAUGAUUUAGUUCAGUUGUCUCCAAUAACAUAGUUGAAGUUGAAUACAUAAGGUUGUUUGUAGUGUCAACUUAUUCAUAAGUAUAGAAACUUCAAUAAUUAGUGUAGCACUUAAAAUUGUGUUUGUGUGAUAUCAUUAUGAUAGACAGUAUAGCUCGGAGCUACAAGAAAUGUUCCCAAAGAGUCUAACAUUUAUAUGGUGUGCUUACUAUAUUAAACAGGAUUCUUGUAUUGUGUAUUUUUAGGGCCGUUUGAGGUUCUGCAAGUAGAGUAUAAAUACCCUAAAGUACUGUAUCCCUUUGAGAUGUAUUUAUUAUUGUGUCA